rnacentral:rRNA from 1 species
UACGUAGGGGGCAAGCGUUGUCCGGAAUCAUUGGGCGUAAAGCGCGCGUAGGUGGCCCCGUAAGUCCGCUGUGAAAGUCAAAGGCUCAACCUUUGAAAGCCGGUGGAUACUGUGGGACUAGAGUACGGAAGAGGCGAGUGGAAUUCCUGGUGUAGCGGUGGAAUGCGCAGAUAUCAGGAGGAACACCAAUAGCGAAGGCAGCUCGCUGGGACGUUACUGACACUGAGGCGCGAAAGCGUGGGGAGCGAACAGG